CCCUUCAGUCCUGACAAUGAUUCUCACAAUGCGGAAGCACGUCACCACCACUUCCUCUACCAGCCUGGGUGUGGUGGUUUGGUGGCAUUCGCUUUUGUUCACCAAUCUUCCUUAAUCGGCUGUAGGAAGUAGUCCUGAUGGGACCGCAGAAUCCUCUAAACAAUGAGGAGGAGGAGGAAUGGUGGCAUGAACCCAAAGAAGAAAAGCGAUAUUACGCUCCAUCUCAAAGAUUAACAAGGAGCUCCCUUCUUUACACUUGCAAUCAGGGAAGUUUUUCUAAGGAAAUGGAGAUCUGAAGAGAUGUGCUGACCAGACUGAGACACUGGAUUUCUUAAGGAGCAUAGAAGAGAUUGGGGCCUCCAACUACAACACCACUUCAGCUUUCUGUGCUACCUGGUUUCCCUGGAUUCAGUUUAGGAAAUCUCCUUCCCUAGCUACAUGGCUCUCAAGUUUAAAUAGUUUAUUCCAAAAACAGAGCAUGGAAACUGUAGGCCGGUUCUGGAGUUGGUUCGGUUUCGGAAGUCACAGCUGGCGGCGAUGUAGAGAACAUGAGCAUGAUGGGAACAGAUUUGGCGCACGUGCCCUCUGGGGUCCAGGGGCUGGCACACGCAACGAAGGAGUGGUUGGAGGAGGAGUUUAAAGUUGCCUUUAUAAUGUUAGCUGUGGCCGAUCA